UUGGGUUAACGUCCCGCAACGAGCGCUAACCCUUAUUGCUAGUUACCAUCAUUGAGUUGGGGACUCUAGCGAGACUGCAGCGAUAAGCUGGAGGAAGGUGGGGAUGACGUCAAAUCAUCAUGCCCCUUAUGACCUGGGCUACAAACGUGAUACAAUGGCUGGAACAAAGGGAGGCCCCCGAAGGGGUGACCUGGAGCGAAACCCAAAAUACAGUCUCAGUUCGGAUUGAAGUCUGCAACUCGACUUCAUGAAGUCGGAAUCGCUAGUAAUCGCGGAUCAGAACGCCGCGGUGAAUACGUUCCCGGGCCUU
rnacentral:rRNA from 1 species